AUGAAGUACACACUCUGUAAGAUAAAGGUAAUGAGAGGCAUAUUUAUUGGGAAGAUAAAGAAGCUUAUGUUUGCAGGCCUCACGCCUGCCUGGGGCAGCUUGCCUGCCUAGGACCCCAUUCAAGGCCCUGGAAAUAACCCAACAAUGGGCUCACUUGGUCCUGCCACUUUUGUAAAAUUUGCAGAGGUAAGGCUGAUUUUUACUCAGUAAAGACUGCUCUCUCUUUUUCCUCUCUGAUUUCCUGUCCAUCUUACUUCUUCUGAUGGGUAGCAUUAGAGUGCCCAGGGAUGUUUUUGGAUCCAACUAAGGCAAAGGUUGAAGUGAUUCACUGUCACUUUCAUACAGCAUUAAGUUAUCCAUAUGCAUGUAGAAAUAGCUUUCUGGAAAACUGCUCCAAACCUGUAUCAACUACCCAUAAUUCAGGCCACAAAAAUGUAGUGCCAGAGGUGGUAUCUUGAUAGAAGCAAAUUCCAUGGUAUUGUGUGCAUGUCGGUAGUGGCGUCUAAACAUUAUUUUAAAUAGAUGGUGUGAGAAUAUGAUCUGUAUUAGUUUUUGUGUUUUGUGGUGCUCUUGGAUUUGUCACCUUUUAAAAAAUUAAAGUGUUUAUUUAUUUUCAUAAAUGUCAUAAUUUUAUAUUUGUUAUAUGUAAACUUGGAUUGGAUCUGGCUAGAAAUACAAUGAUGAGCCAAAAAGAGUCAUACUCUUGCCACCCUGCAGCUUAAUGUCUAAAAGACAAAAUAUAGGUUGAUAAAAAUAUUUACGCAAAUUUAUUUAAAAAUUUAGAAGAAAUAAAUACAGCAUAUGAGUGGGCCACAGUGCAGUGAGCACUUGCAUUAAGAGAUCUGUCUUUGUCUGAAAUGUAAAGUAUGUUUUCCAUGCAGAAUUACUGCUUGAGAAAAAAAAUGUGAAUUAGAUACCCCUCUGAAUUAACAGAUGAGACUGGCUUGAAAGAAAGGGUAAUUGCUUGAGACAAGCAGCAGAACAAGUAUGAAGAUCCUUGGAAAGGGAAAACACUUUUAUUGCUGCCUCUUAAAAUCUUUCAGAAGAAUAUCAAAUGUUUACAAUUUUCUUCCUGGCCAUUAAUUAAAUUGCAGCAAUAGAAGACUACUAAGAUAGGGAGGGCCUGUUUACUGUGCAAGAAAAUGUACUAACUAGGAUUAACUAAUCUUCUUUCCCUUUUCCCUCCCCUCCCAUCCUCUGUCAUGCCCUCCCCUCCCCUCCUCUCCCCUCCCCUCUGUCGUUCUUUCUUUUCUUUCUUCUUGCUUGCCUUCCUUUUUCCUUCUCUUUUUUCUUCAGCUAGGGUAGAAAAUAAGCUUAGUAUAGGACUCAAGGAGAACAUUAGUCUGUUUAAUACUUAUUUUCUUCAAGUUCAUUAUACAAAUUCACAAAUCGUUACAAUUUUUUGAGGCUUUUGUGUGGACAGGAAUGAUUUUGUUUUGCUACAAAUUCACCUUGUCAUCAAGGAAAGGACAAUAUUACUAGAUGUAGUCCAAGAUAUUCAACUGCACGCAAAGGUAAAAAGAUGGUCAUGAUGUUUGUACUCAAUUGCUUCAACAGUGUAUUAAGGUACAAAUUUUAAGCUGCUGCUCAACUUACAAAUGCUUUAAGUUUUCACUACUGACAAUAUGGAGGAAUAGACUACCUGAUGGACUCUUGCAGUGAAUACAACUAAGUCAUGAAUUUAUCUAGGUUAAACUGAAGAAGGAGGAGAAUGAUUAAAUUCUGUAGGCAGAAAGAAGAAAUGGAAUCCAAAGUCUAUGGGAGAUUUGCACAAUAAAUUCAAAAGCAAUGGAAUUAAGAAUGUAAACAUAUUGAUAUGUUAGUAUCAUGAGAUUCUCCUCCCUCAAAAGAAGUUUACACCUAAAAUCUUUUUUUUCCUCCGGAGAAUAAGCAGUAAAGCCACAUGGUUGAGGUGAGGCUCUGUGUUAAGAACAACUCAUAUACAUAAAUUGUGUGUACGUGUAUAUGUAUACAUGUAUACAUAUAAACACACCCAUAUAUAUAUACACAUAUAUAUAUACAAUACAUAUAUACACACAUAUAGACACACAUAUACACAUGUAUGUAUACACACACAUAUAUACACACACACUGUCUCAUUACAGAGAGCAUCUAUAUGUUCAUAAACACACAAAUCUAUGUUUUCUGCGGUAAGAUAUGUAUAUAUAUUUCCUAAAUAGUCAAAUCCACAAAUCAGGGCUUUCUAAGUGUAUAAUUGGUAGAAAGCUUUUACUCCUCAAUACCUACCUAACUAAACAAGAAUAAGCUUCGCUUCUGUUUAUUUGACAUAUAAUACCAGGUUAUAAAAAUUCUUACAUAAUGUUAGGCUAAUAACUACUAAAUAACAACUUUGACACUUGUGAAGCCUAAGUGUUUUUCUGAAAGUCAUCUUAACCAUUAAAAUUCAAUGAGAAUGUCAAUUCUGAUAAUUUCAAAGAUUUCCUAAAAUAAAUUAAUGCAAACUUUUCUUUACAAGUAAUUUUGAGUAUAGUUCUGCUUGACUCAAAAGCUGUUAUAACCAGGAGGUGUGAUCAAAACAUUGUCCUUGACAUGUGUCAUCUUAUUAAAUCAAGUUUCAAUGUUUGCUAAUUGGUUGAAUGAAUGAUGAUUGAUCUAGGAAAUUGCAAUUGGAAAGAGUUAUAACUUUCCGUGGGGAAAAGGAAAUAUAUGUGCAUGUAAUUUGUGUACCUACGGAGAAUUAUAUACACGGUACACAUACAUACAUUGAUGCAUUGAGGUUAAUUAUGUCUUAAAGUCUAUGAAGAACCAUAGUAAAAUUAGAAAUGUUUAAAAGUCUUGGUCAGCAAUGCAUACUAUAAAAUAUUUACAGACAAUGUUCUUAGGAUAAUUUAAACAAAUUUUGAAUUUACUCAUCUCUAGAUGAUUUUUGUUUAUACAUUUUUCUAGUAAUUCUGCUAUUUUUCUAAUGACUUAAGACUCAAAACCUCAAUGUUAAUAUUAGAGUUAAGAGCACUUUUACAAAUGAAAUUGUUUCUUUGCGGAAUGUCUGAAAAUACCAAGAGUACUUAAAUAUGAAACUGUAGAAUCGGUAGAAGUAGAAAAUAAAACUGGAGAGUUUUAUGAAAUUACAGACACUUGUAAUACUUGUAAUUACAGACACUGCAACCUAGAAAGUUGCAGGUGGGCAAAUUCUUUUUGGAUUUCCAUUUUAAGAAAGAGAUAAAGAAGGAGAAUUGGUAAACUCAACCACACAUCCUGAAAAUAUUCUAGACUAGAUGAUUAAGCAAAUGAUUUGAGAAUACUAAAUAGGAUCACUAUAAAUCAGUAUACAUUUAUUAAAAUUAACAUCUUAGUAAGUAAUAAUAAAUAAUUUCUAAAAUAGAAGUCAUUUAAAUCAUGGUCACUAUAUUCCCAGUAUAAUUUCCAAUUAAAUAUAGAUAAAAUCCAGUUUGUAUCUACAUUUUCAUGUGGCACUAUUAGGAGACAGAUUUUGGUUUAGUGUGAGGAACAGGUUUUUAAAACCCAGUGUUGUCCUGUGGAACAAAUUCCUAUGCUAAGCAAUGAAAUUCUACAUUCUCGAGGCUUGGUGCAAUUUGAGCUUUUUCAGAUAGCAUUUUUUUUUUUUU
rnacentral:lncRNA from 1 species